AUACGGAGGAUCCGAGCGUUAUCCGGAUUUAUUGGGUUUAAAGGGUGCGCAGGCGGGAGAUUAAGUCGGCGGUGAAAUUUUGCAGCUCAACUGUAAAAGAGCCUUCGAAACUGGUUUCCUUGCGUGUAGACGAAGUAGGCGGAAUUUGUGGUGUAGCGGUGAAAUGCAUAGAUAUCACGAGGAACUCCGAUUGCGCAGGCAGCUUACUAAACUACUACUGACGCUCAGGCACGAAGGCGUGGGGAUCAAACAGGAUUAGAUACCCUGGUAGUCCACGCAGUAAACGAUGAUUACUAGCUGUUUGCGAUACAAUGUAAGCGGCUGAGCGAAAGCGUUAAGUAAUCCACCUGGGGAGUACGUGCGCAAGAAUGAAACUCAAAGGAAUUGACGGGG
rnacentral:rRNA from 1 species